rnacentral:rRNA from 1 species
CGUCCAGACUCCUACGGGAGGCAGCAGUGGGGGAUAUUGCACAAUGGGGGGAACCCUGAUGCAGCGACGCCGCGUGGGUGAAGAAGCGCCUCGGCGCGUAAAGCCCUGUCAGCAGGGAAGAAAAUGACGGUACCUGAAGAAGAAGCCCCGACUAACUACGUGCCAGCAGCCGCGGUAAUACGUAGGGGGCAAGCGUUAUCCGGAUUUACUGGGUGUAAAGGGAGCGUAGGUGGCAAGGCAAGUCAGAAGUGAAACCCUCGGGCUCAACCUGAGGCAUGCUUUUGAAACUGUCAAGCUGGAGUGCUGGAGAGGUAAGCGGAAUUCCUAGUGUAGCGGUGAAAUGCGUAGAUAUUAGGAGGAACACCGGUGGCGAAGGCGGCUUACUGGACAGUAACUGACACUGAGGCUCGAAAGCGUGGGGAGCAAACAGGAUUAGAUACCCCAGUAA